UUGAACCAGGGGAGAUGUAAGUCUGGGGCUGCUCUCACCUUCUUGCCGCUGUGUGGAGCCUGCAAAUGACAGUGAUUCCUGGAGGGGAGCAGAGCUGAGCACAUAGACAUAAUUAAGGUAAGGAUCAAGACGAGAUCACACUGGAAAAGGUGGGCCCUAAAUCCAGUGAGAGGAUAGGAAGGCCAGCACUCUUAUUCUGUCCUAAUAAGAGACAGAGACGGGCACACAGAGACACAGAAGAAGGCCAUGUGUUGAUGGAGGCAGAGACUGGAGUGAUGCCGUCCCAAGCCAGGGAGUGCCUGGCUCCGCCAGGCACUGGAAGAGGCACUGAAUGGAUGCUUCUCGAGAGCCUUUGGAGGGAGCAUGACCCUGCUGACACCUUGAUUUUGCACUUCUGGCUUCUGGAACUAUGAGAGGGAGUCCUCUGUGGUAAACUGGUGGAGUCCAAAGCAAUUGUGUUUGACAAAUAAAACCGAAUGAUCUGGGUGAUGAAAACGUAAUAGCAAAAGACCAAUCCUGAAGAAUCCUCAGGGCCCGGGUGAGGAGGGAGGUGAAGCUCCAGCUCUGCUGUACC
rnacentral:lncRNA from 1 species